UACGUAGGGUGCGAGCGUUAAUCGGAAUUACUGGGCAUAAAGAGUGCGUAGGCGGUUCUUGAAGUCCGCUGUGAAAGCCCCGGGCUUAACCUGGGAAUGGCAGUGGAAACUGGGGGACUUGAAUUGAGCAGAGGGGGGUGGAAUGCCGCGUGUAGCAGUGAAAUGCGUAGAGAUGCGGCGGAACACCGAUGGCGAAGGCAGCCCCCUGGGCUUAAAUUGACGCUGAGGCACGAAAGCGUGGGGAGCAAACAGG
rnacentral:rRNA from 1 species